rnacentral:rRNA from 1 species
AACGAACGCUGGCGGCAUGCCUAACACAUGCAAGUCGAACGAGUCCUUCGGGUCUAGUGGCGCACGGGUGCGUAACGCGUGGGAACCUGCCCUUAGGUUCGGAAUAACUCCCCGAAAGGGGUGCUAAUACCGGAUAAUGUCUUCGGACCAAAGAUUUAUCGCCUUUGGAUGGGCCCGCGUUGGAUUAGCUAGUUGGUAGGGUAAAAGCCUACCAAGGCGACGAUCCAUAGCUGGUCUGAGAGGAUGAUCAGCCACACUGGGACUGAGACACGGCCCAGACUCCUACGGGAGGCAGCAGUGGGGAAUAUUGGACAAUGGGCGAAAGCCUGAUCCAGCAAUGCCGCGUGAGUGAUAAAGGCCUUAGGGUUGUAAAGCUCUUUUACCCGGGAUGAUAAUGACAGUACCGGGAGAAUAAGCUCCGGCUAACUCCGUG